rnacentral:lncRNA from 1 species
GAGCCCCCACUCUGGUUUCUGAUACAACAUCGCUAUGGUUGGUGCGUAUCCUACAGCGUUUUCCCUAAUUUGAGCCUUUUAAAAAACAUGCUGUCAUCAAUUAAUAAAGUUUCUUCCCUACUGCUUAAAAAAAAAAGAAAGGCUUUUUAUUUGGCCCCACCGGUGCCCUACAGAGCUGAAAGGAAAUCACUUGGACUUUCUUGAACUAUUAAGCUGUACUUCACCAAAAAUCUAUUAGACUGCGCUACUGCACAUACACCCAGCGAGCGUCACAGCCAGCCACGGCGGCGAAGGUGGCACCUUGGUCGGUGUGGAUACGAGAGGAGAGGCAGGUGCAGGCAAAGAACAUCAGGGAGCAGCAGACCGUGGAUUGUGUUGCCCGUCACAGAAGCAAAAUGGCCUGGUGAAUUCCCUUCUGAAAAAUUAAAUGAGACGUUCCAAAUGCAUCCAUUUCCAUAGAAGACGGAGAAGACAAGACAAUUACGUUUCAGGCCCUGUCGUCUGCCAGUCACACAUCUCAUCUCAGCCGGAGCCUCAGAUUUUCCAAAAGACGUUCUUCUUGUAGAGGACGUAGGCGAUGAGCACCCAGAGUGCAGUGGCGACUAUGUUCUGCACCAGAUGCUCCCUGUGGGACUGGCUGUCCCCCAGCCUCCACUGGAAGGGGAAGUAGUUGGCAAACACCUCGUGGCCCACGUACACCAGGAUCGAGUUCAUGCCUGGGGAGACACAGCGGUCAUCGGUCUCACUCGGGAAAUCUGACUUCAGUGAAAAAAGAAAAGGCGCCCGCUUCUGUUACGGGCUACCUCCAAAAGUAAGUGGUGUGUAUCUUAGCUACUGAAGUGCAAACUAUAUCAAGAAAAGUAGCAGAGGCGUUCCCACUGUGGUGCAGCAGAAACGAAUCCGAUUAGCAUCCAUGAGGAUGCGGGUUCGAUCCCUGGCCUCACUCAGCGAGUUAAGGAUCUGGCAUUGCCACGUGCCGUGGUGUAAGUCACAGAUGCGGCUUGGAUCCCAAGUCGCAGUGGCUGUAGCGUACGCUGGCAGCUGCAGCUCCGAUGAGACCCCUAGCCUGGGAACUUCCAUAUGCCGUGGAUGUGGCCCUAAAAAAAAAAAAAAGUAUUAGAAACUAUUCACGUUGGAGAUGUAAUUGUGGACUAUUUAAUCUGAAA